GGAAAUCAUGCCAGCAUCAGCAUCAGCAGUGUGUGUGCGUGAGCGUGCAUGUGUGUGUUGCAUGUCGUCGCAGCCUCCUCAGAAUUAAGAGAAUCCAGUCCGUGCAAGAACGAGCAUCCAGGCCGAGCCUCCCUCCUCCACACUGCCUUUCUCAAUGUGCUUGGCGGCGGCUAAUGGAAGCCGAGGUGCUGCUGUCCCCCCCCGUGAUGGCGGACGUCAACGGCAACAAUAAGCUGGCCAACGCCGAGCUGGAGGUGCUGAAGCUCCAAGAGCUGGUCCGCAAGCUGGAGAAGCAGAACGAGCAGCUGAGGACGAGGGCCAACGCGGUAAACAAUUGUCCCAUCGCCUCCCAUCAUCACCACCAUCCUCCUCUUACUCCUCCUCCGCAGCAGCUCCCGGGCUCGCUGGCUGCUUGUCUACCCGCAGCCAGGGACCUUUUCUCGGCCAAGUGUGAGCCGUCCGCCCGGGAGCCCUUCGCUUAUUUUCAGCCGAGCUCGUCGUCGUCUCCUGAUGCAGCCGAGGAGGAGGAGGAGGAGGACGAAGUGGAAGAUGAGGAGGAGAACGAUGGAAGCACGACGGUUCUGGAUGAGGUUGACAUACUGGAUCUUAGCACCGUGCUCCCUGCAACAGAGCCCGAUAGCUGGCUUUAUGUAAGUCCCAGAGCCAAGCUGCAGGGCAGCGACAGCGGCCUCAGCCCUCUGCAGUGGUGCAGGCAGGUCCUGGACCACCCGGGACCAGAAGUGGAGCUGGCCAGGAUGACGCUGUGCCACAGAUUGGACCAAGCCAAGCGGUGGCGAGGAACGUCUUCCGUCCGUCCUUACAGCUGUAUAGACGGGCUGUCCACCCUCAGCUGCCCGGUCCAGCCUUACACUAAACCUGCUGUGCUAACCGAGUCCACAGCUCUGUCGUCAGCGCCGUUAGCAGCAUCUUCAUCACCAUCACCCGGGCCUCCUUUGGUCCAGUCCACCUUCCCUCUCAGGACCAGCUGCAGCCUCAGUGACAGAGCCCCCACCUUCCUGUCGAACUCUGCCCUGCACAAUGUGGGUCGGCAACAUGCGGCCAUCAGCCCCCAGUCUUCCCUGGACAGCGAGGCGGGCGUCUCUGAGCUGGAGGACGACUCCAUCUCCAUGGGCUACAAACUGCAGGACAUAACAGACGUGGAGGUCAUGGCUCGACUUCAGGAGGAGAGUCUGCGUCAGGACUACGCGUCCACCUCGGCCACGGCCAGUCGUCGCUGCUCCAGCUUCUCCUUGAACUCUCUGAGACGCAGCGAGGUGGACCUGGAGGAGGAUGACGAGGAGGAUGAGGGCUACGACCAGCUGCCUCCACCGCAGCCUCGACUUUUCCGCACGGGAUCCAUGCAGCGCAGUGGGGGAGGUCUACCUCACUCGCACACCUUCUCCAGCUUCAGAGACUGCAGACGAAGCUCCAACGCCUCAACCUUCUCAUUGGCUGCACUCGUACCCUACAACACAGGGACGUCUGGUCUGAGCACGGACGGUCACUACAGAAGUAGCACAGAUAUGAAACUCCGGAGAAGCAUGCCCAACCUGAUCCGAGCUCCGAGCAUGCCCAGUGUUCCCUGCCUGGCCCCUUCCUCCAUCGGCCCGCCCUCCCACGGCCCCUCCUCCCUCCCUACUAUGUCGUCCCUCCGCAGCAGCCAGAGCUUUGACUCGUCCAGCGGCCUCGCACGUCUCCAGUCGUCCAUUCCGCCUCCAGGCCAGCUGAGUCAGCGCGUCCAGAGUGUGGGCAACUUCCCCGCCGCCCCCCGCCAACUCUUUAAAGCCACGGCCUACGUAAGCCCCACCGUCCUGCAGGGCCCCGCCUCCUUGUCCACCUCCACCAGCCUGCACUCCAUCCCCAGCAGCCCUGCCCUGCCUCAGAGCCUCAAGCCCGCCGGAAGUUCCGUACCGCUGCCCGUAAAGACCGCCUACGCCGCCCCCAGCCAGUCCGCCUUCCCCCGCAGCUCGCUGCCCCGUCCAGCCUCUUUUGUGGGCAUCAGCGGAGUUACACGCUCAAGCAAAAUCUCCCAACCAACGCGCAGUAUGCUGACUCCGCCAAAGAGCCUGGCUUCCCUGAGUACCCUGAGGGAUGCCAGCUGGAAAGACGGCUGCUAUUAACUCCAAUAAUUCCAGACGUAUGGUAAAAAUAAGGUUAAUAAUGAUUAUUCUAACAAACAGGGUCAUGCUGCAUGGCUGCAGUAACAGCAUCUGUCCAGAGGAGGCAGUCACGAGCUGCCACCCAAGAGAGACUGUUAAGUGUUUUGUUUUUUAAAACUCUUCUUCUGAAUGAAGUAAAGAGCUGUAUGAGGCUGGCUCUCAUACGUUACCUGCAAUAUUCAGCUAAUGACUUACUUAAAUGUCAACUCCUACUUGUUGUGAUUUCUCUGCAAGAUGAAAACGUCACGCUUUUUCUAUAAUUCGCUUUUUUUUUUUAUAUAUAUCUCACACGGCUCACUUUGCAAACUUUUCUCACUGUGGUGUAAAAUAUGAUGAUGAUGAUGAAAAAUCUGUUCUUGUUCCAUCGUGUGCCUGUUUGGAAGUAUUGUGUCAUAUUUCAUAUCCGCUUCUACAGUAUGUACGUACUAGCCGCACCUGCAGCACUUUUAUCGCAAUUAUGAGAAAACCUUUUUGGGGUGGGGGGGGUUGUUUAAAUUAUGGCAAUUCUUUUAAUGCGUGAUGUGAGUUUUUGAUGUGUUUUUAUUCAAUUUUGUUUCUAAGUGAUUUUUAGUAAAGUAAUACUUUCAUUCAUGUGACUGCUGCAAUGAUAUUGCACAUCGACUCUGACGAGUUUCGUGUAUCAUAGGAAUUUUUAAAGUCAAAUUAAACACGUUUUGAAAAUAUAACGUUUUUCCCCAUUCCAUCCUCCAUUUUCUACACCGCUUGUCCUCACCAGGGUCGCGGAUAUUGCUGGAGCCUAUCCCAGCUGUCUUUGGGCGAGAGGCGGGGUACACCCUGGACUGGUGGCCAGCCAAUCGCAGGGCACAUGUAGACAAACAGCCAUUCACACUCACACUCACAUUCACACCGGUGGACAAUUUAGUUUUGACAUUUUUGAAAUUUAACCAGAUAAUUUACGGCUUUUCUGGAUAACAAUCCGUGACCUGGCAACAGAUGGGACACUGUAAGGGGCCUGCCAGUAAAUGACUCAUCAUGAGCAUAAUGUCUGUUGUCUUAAAUUUGCCCACCAACAGUCUCCCUGCUCGUUGAGGCUUCAUAUUAUCAAACGGAGUCCACUUCUUCAGUCCUUUCUGAAAACAUGCCUACCCAAGCUCAAGAGGUUUGGAUGUUUUUUUCUUUCAUAUCCACACUUAUGCAUGCAUUAAAGACGCCUGCUUUGUUAUAUAGUCAGAUUCUUUCUUUGCUUUACGGAGAACGCUUUAAUCAACCUGAAGACGUGACAGGACAUUUCCAAGGAGCUUGGGUUGGAGUGGACCGUCUUGGCUUUAACAGAACAGAGAUGACGCUUUCAUGCCAAAUCUAAAGUGAAGUGUGACCAGGCUUGAGCAAUGCUGGAAACCUGGUAUGUGUAACUAAAACAGUAACUGCAGUAACAGUAAGGGCAAGACAAGCAGUGAUAUGCUGCAUAGCAUUUUCUUAGCCUGUGCUAACAAAUCAGCACCCAGACCCUUCAUAUUUACCACAUAGAUUCUUUGGUUUUAGACCUUAUUCAUUCCCAAAGAAUGAAGGACUGAGUUAAAGGUCAAAGCCACAACAAGGUCAAACCUGUAAACGCCCCCGCCAAUUUUUUUUGUUGUUGUUUCAGUUUAAAUCUCACCACCUCCAAACUUGGAAUCUAUUCACUACGAUGUUAAGAAAAUCGCCUAGCGCUAUAGUUGUCAUAGACAUCUGCUGAUGUAGUCCUGUUGUCGUUAAUGUUGUUGUUGUCUUACUCUGUCUUGUCCCCCCAGUCCCCCCCUCUGUCUCCCUUUCUCUUCUUCUCUAUCCCCUCCUGCUCCAGUCCGGCUGCUCCACGUAUGAAAAGUCACGGGACAAGCCCAACAAGACAAAGCUGCUGCAGGAUGGACUGGAGCGGGCGGGCAGACGAGACCUGUCCGAAAGGCUGCGUUGUCUC